rnacentral:rRNA from 1 species
UGAGGAAUAUUGGUCAAUGGGCGAGAGCCUGAACCAGCCAAGUAGCGUGCAGGAUGACGGCCCUAUGGGUUGUAAACUGCUUUUAUAUGGGUAUAAAGUGAGGGACGUGUCCCUUAUUGCAUGUACCAUAUGAAUAAGGACCGGCUAAUUCCGUGCCAGCAGCCGCGGUAAUACGGAAGGUCCAGGCGUUAUCCGGAUUUAUUGGGUUUAAAGGGAGCGUAGGCUGUUUGUUAAGCGUGUUGUGAAAUGUAAGAGCUCAACUUUUAGAUUGCAGCGCGAACUGGCAGACUUGAGUGCGCACAACGUAGGCGGAAUUCAUGGUGUAGCGGUGAAAUGCUUAGAUAUCAUGACGAACUCCGAUUGCGAAGGCAGCUUACGGGAGCGCAACUGACGCUAAAGCUCGAAGGUGCGGGUAUCGAACAGG